rnacentral:snRNA from 1 species
GUGCUCUCUUCGGCAGCACGUGCACUAAAGCUGGAACGAUACAGAGAAGAUUAGCGUGGCAAGGACGUCCCUGUGCAAGGACGACAUGCAAAUUCAUGAAGCAUUCCAUAUUUAU